CCUACGGGUGGCAGCAGUGGGGAAUAUUGCACAAUGGGGGAAACCCUGAUGCAGCGACGCCGCGUGAGUGAAGAAGUACUUCGUUAUGUAAAGCUCUAUCAGCAGGGAAGAAAAUGACGGUACCUGAGUAAGAAGCCCCGGCUAACUACGUGCCAGCAGCCGCGGUAAUACGUAGGGGGCAAGCGUUAUCCGGAUUUACUGGGUGUAAAGGGAGCGUAGACGGAAGUGCAAGUCUGGAGUGAAAGGCCGGGGCUCAACCCCGGAACUGCCAUUGUAACUGUGCAGCUGGAGUGCUGGAGAGGAUAGUGGAAUACCUAGUGUAGCGGUGAAAUGCGUAGAUAUUAGGUGGAACACCAGUGGCGAAGGCGGCUAACUGGACUGUAACUGACGUUGAGGCUCGAAAGCGUGGGGAGCAAACAGGAUUAGAUACCCCUGUAGUC
rnacentral:rRNA from 1 species